rnacentral:rRNA from 1 species
AUGGCCGACCUCGGCAGCUUCGGCAGGCGGCGGCAGCCGACUGCUGCGGAGGUGGUGGGGCGCCUCAAGGAUGACGGAGAUUUCGACGCCCUCCGCCGCGCCAUCGUCCGCAAGGUCAAGGACAACGAGGUGCUGCGCAACAACAUAAUCACAGAAGUGAAGCAGUCAAUGGUACUAAGUGAAGAUGGCUCUGAAAAGUUAAAGCUAAAAGAACUCUCUGAUGCGAUUUUUCAAGACGUAGGGAGCAAAAUAAUGGGUCAAAUAUCAGACGAGGUGUGGAGUGUCAUCCAGUCAGGUGAAACUGAUAUCCGAGGAAGUGUGGAAGCUGUCUUCGAUAGGAUAAUGAACCCUGAACAGCAACAGGACACAGGGCCUUCUCCCAAGAAGCUGAAGAGAAAUGGCAAAGGAGAGCAAGUUUCGCCAGCAAAGGCAUCAGCCCCUGUUACUGUCCAGGUGGAAGAUGAUGAUCCAGAGGAACCACCAGGGUUUGGUUUGAGUGACCUUCAGCGCAGCAACAUGGUAGUAAAGCAGGAGCAGCCAUGUGAUGAUGGGCAGAAUCAUACCCAAGUGAAACCAAAUGGUGGUGAGCUAGUGGGAGCUGGUAGCUUGGGGGACGCCGAUGAUGAGGAUCCUGAUGUGCCUCCUGGAUUUGAUGCGCCUCCUGGAUUUGGUUAA